GACCUCGUAGCUCAGUUGGCAGAGCAUUGGACUAGUAAUCCCAAAGGUCGCGGGUUCGAUUCCCACCGUGGUUC